rnacentral:rRNA from 1 species
AACGAACGCUGGCGGCAUGCCUAACACAUGCAAGUCGAACGAGACCUUCGGGUCUAGUGGCGCACGGGUGCGUAACGCGUGGGAACCUGCCCUUAGGUUCGGAAUAACUCCCCGAAAGGGGUGCUAAUACCGGAUAAUGUCUUCGGACCAAAGAUUUAUCUCCUUUGGAUGGGCCCGCGUUGGAUUAGCUAGUUGGUAGGGUAAAAGCCUACCAAGGCGACGAUCCAUAGCUGGUCUGAGAGGAUGAUCAGCCACACUGGGACUGAGACACGGCCCAGACUCCUACGGGAGGCAGCAGUGGGGAAUAUUGGACAAUGGGCGAAAGCCUGAUCCAGCAAUGCCGCGUGAGUGAUGAAGGCCUUAGGGUUGUAAAGCUCUUUUACCCGGGACGAUAAUGACAGUACCGGGAGAAUAAGCUCCGGCUAACUCCGUG